UAGCAACAGAAAAGGGGGCUGUACUAUCUUAACCCUAUAAAACUGUUGUCUGAAUAUGGUAAAGACAGUUCAAUACUGAUUGGGUUGUUGAACUCACACAUGUGUUCAUUAAAAUGCCGUCUAAUUGCACACUGGACCGGAUCUGUGGUUAUUUAUGGAUUCCUUCUCUCAACAUUGAACCCUAACAUUUGGGGGCUUCGUCCGGUGAGAGAGAUGGAGGAACUUUGAGAGAUCCGGGGUCCGUGGUAAUUGGACGGGCAGACGGUAAUCAGUGGUGAAAGUGAGCAGGCAUUCCCCGGGGCAUUUAAAGAACCAGUGUGUCCCCUAGGCCUGAUAACACCCUUGCCCAGUUGGCCCCUGUAGUAGGCGGGCAUGGAAGGCUGGACAGCCCAUGACGGGUAAGAUCCCACCUCGAAACCCUGGGACAACCUAAGGCAAGGCGCAGUCACGAUUGCUUGAACCUAAGUCCCGGAGUGACCUUGGAGUCACUGGAGGAGACGGGAUUUAACAGGUAAGGCCACUGGGCACAGACGAAGGGGAAAUGUCAUUCACAAUGACCAGUGAUGAGCCAAAGAGAGAAAACACACCCUGUCAAAAGGAGUUUGGAACACUGGAAAAGAAACAUUUACAAGAUCACAAAGAUCAUAAAGAAACAUUUAUAAGAAUCACACAUACAAACAGAAAAUGCACUAACCUUACACAGACAAGCUCAUGAAGAUUAAUGAACAGAUAAUGAUUUAAAACCUGGCUAAGAACACAAACAUACGUAAUUAAAUCAGCCUGCUAAUUUCAUGAGGGUUAAAAUGGUGUGAAUGUUGAAGAAAAUACACUUAAAACACACUUGGAUAAAAUAGAGUUGUGGAAUAACUCAAACGAAGCUGUAUGACAAGGGAGUGAG
ensembl:lncRNA